ensembl:snRNA U6 U6 spliceosomal RNA
GUGCUUGCUUUGGCAGCACAUAGACUAAAAUUGGAAGGAUACAGUGAUUAGCAUGGCCCCUGCACAAGCCUGACAGGCAAUUCAUGAAGCGUUCCUUUUUUUU